rnacentral:misc_RNA from 1 species
GGAAGGAUCAUUAACGUGCUUUAAUUUUCUUUACAUCGACUGUGGAAACACCAAAAAAAACUAUCUGUUUUUCUCUCUCGAGCUUGCAAAAGCGCGAGUAGAGUCAACUAUCACCUAAUAUAACCCCAUUCUUUUCUAAAAACCAAUUCGUUUUGUGGAGCUCACAUGUGCGUCAAAACACAUUGUGUUUCUCAAAGCAAAUACAAACUGACGACUUUCAACGGUGGAUCUCUAGGCUCGUGUACCGAUGAAGAACGCUGCAAACUGCGAUACUUAAUGUGAAUUGCACAACUCAGUGAAUCAUCGAAUCUUUGAACGCAUAUUGCGCUGCGACAGUUAAUGCCGCAGCAUACCUGGUCGAGUGUCGUUUCCAAAUCUCACAAACCCAAUUUUCCAUGAUUGGUUGUGUGCUAUUAUAGAAACACUUGAGAGUCAUACUAUGUGUGUAAUAAUACGUGGUACGUCUCUUUAAAUCAUGUAUAAAACUACUUUUUUGUAUUUGCAUUAAUGCAAAUCAUUUGUGGGGAUGCAAAAGCCCUUGUAAAAGGGCUGGCGUAUCACAUCAGUCGCAUGAAUCACUCAAAGAGAUUCAUAUGCGUUUCUGAGUCCCAUGUUGGUAAACCCCUCAUGGUCAAACUCUUAAACUUCAUGUCAUAUGUGUCAAUAAAUUUGUGUGCCCGCUUCUUCUGAUGGAACCUAAAAUGACUUGUACUUUUUGUUCUUCCAAAAAUAGUAAUACUAUACACCUGAUAAACACUUGAAAAACCAAAAAAAGACCCUUAAAAAAGGCCUUUUUUGGACAGACCUCGGCUCAGGUAAGGCUACCCGCUGAAUUUAAGCAUAUAAUUAAGCGGAGGAAAAGAAACUAACAAGGAUUCCCCUAGUAACGGCGAGUGAAGAGGGAAAAGCUCAAGCUUAAAACCUGUGCCCAUUUCGGGUACCGGAUUGUAGCCUAUAGAAGGAGUGUCCUGGCAGUCGGCGACCAAAAUGCUUAGGAAUAAGCUGCCAAAGAGGGUGAGAGCCCCGUUCAUGGUUGCCGGUCCUGUCUUUUGUGAUACCCUUUCAUCGAGUCAGGUUGCUUGAGAGUGCAGCCUAAAGUGGGUGGUAUACUUCAUCUAAAGCUAAAUAUUGACACGAGACCGAUAGCGAACAAGUACCGUGAGGGAAAGAUGAAAAGAACUUUGAAGAGAGAGUUAAAAAGUGCGUGAAACCGUUGAAAGGGAAGCUGAUGGGUGCAGUGUCUCGUACAGUUGUCAUCUUAGCCUGAAUCUGUCAAAGGCAGUAGCAAGUCAGUGUCAAAGCGGCUUGUUAUUGUUCAGAGGCAGAGACGGGUGCACUAUGGCGACUGGGGCCUCUGGAUGCGUUUGGUGGGCAGGAUAAAACCGCAUUUUGGUAAAUCGCUCCGGCUUUUGAUCUUUUGCGGCCCAAAACUGCCUGCUGGACGGAGGUCUUUGUAUAAAAAAGAGCUCGGCUCAGCCGUAAGGCUCGGUCUAGCAAGUGUGAUGCAGGGUGUGCACUUUGCAAAAAGUUCACGUUCUGUUGAUUCAUGCUUGUUUUAGGCUGGCUUUACUGAGUUCUCUUGAUCCAGAGUAAAUGCUCUCAUCAGACCCGUCUUGAAACACGGACCAAGGAGUCUAACAUGUAUGCGAGUCGUAGGGUGGAAAACCUGAAGGCGCAAUGAAAGUGAAGGCAGACUCGGUCUGCUGAGGUGGGAACCCGCCCUCUUUGCGGAGGAAAGGUGCACCAUCAACCGAUCAUGAUCCUCGGUGAUUGAUUUGAGUGUAAGCAUAUCUGUUGGUACCCGAAAGAUGGUGAACUAUGCCUGUAUAGGGUGAAGCCAGUGGAAACUCUGGUGGAGGCUCGUAGCGAUACUGACGUGCAAAUCGUUCGUCAAAUAUGGGUAUAGGGGCGAAAGACUAAUCGAACCAUCUAGUAGCUGGUUCCCUC